AGCAGCCGCGGUAAUUCCAGCUCCAAUAGCGUAUAUUAAAGUUGUUGCAGUUAAAAAGCUCGUAGUUGAAUUUCGGGGUUAGUAGGUUGGUCAUGCCUCUGGUAUGUACUGGUCUCACUGAUUCCUCCUUCCUGAUGAGCCGUAAUGCCAUUAAUUUGGUGUUGCGGGGAAUUUGGACUGUUACUUUGAAAAAAUUAGAGUGUUUAAAGCAAGCUAACGCUUGAAUACAUUAGCAUGGAAUAAUGAAAUAGGACGUUCGAUCCUAUUUUGUUGGUUUCUAGGAUUGACGUAAUGAUUAAUAGGGAUAGUUGGGGGCAUUAGUAUUCAAUUGUCAGAGGUGAAAUUCUUGGAUUUAUUGAAGACUAACUACUGCGAAAGCAUUUGCCAAGGAUGUUUUCAUUAAUCAAGAACGAAAGUUAGGGGAUCGAAGACGAUCAGAUACCGUCGUAGUCUUAACCAUAAACUAUGCCGACUAGGGAUCGGAUGAUGUUAAUUUUUAUGACUCAUUCGGCGCUUUAAC
rnacentral:rRNA from 1 species